UACGUAGGGUCCAAGCGUUGUCCGGAAUUAUUGGGCGUAAAGAGCUCGUAGGCGGUUUGUCGCGUCUGCUGUGAAAUCCCGAGGCUCAACCUCGGGCCUGCAGUGGGUACGGGCAGACUGGAGUGCGGUAGGGGAGAAUGGAAUUCCUGGUGUAGCGGUGGAAUGCGCAGAUAUCAGGAGGAACACCGAUGGCGAAGGCAGGUCACUGGGCCGCAACUGACGCUGAGGAGCGAAAGCAUGGGGAGCGAACAGG
rnacentral:rRNA from 1 species